GUGUAUAAAAAAGUUAAACCCCCAUUUUACGCGACUACAUUCAGGGAAUGUGCAAUUAUACACUAUAGCGAUAAAAUGUAAGAUCUAUUAUCAAACAAACAAGGAAGCGCCGAAAAAAUGUAUUAUAUUACAUAUAAAGAUAUAAAAUAUAUGUAAUUACAUUGCAUUUAGGAAUAUUUUGGGAAACACUGAAGUACUAGUGCUAUUUAAUGGAAUAUUUGAUAUUGAAAGAUAAAGUUACCAGAUAGUUUAUGGGUAAACAUUUUAAAAAAAAGAAAGUCAUAUGAUCAAAUGGAUGACGGAGGAAGAAUGAAAAGAUCGACUUC